UUGUUUCAGUUCCUCAGAACCACCAGCGAGACACGGGGAAGGGGAGGUGUGUUUGGUUCUCCAGCAGCACCCAGCAAACCACGGCAUGGGACCAUAACCUUCUUGUGCUCAUUGGCACUUUGUGCCAUUAGACUCUCCAGGAAAGGUACAGAAGGUGUCGAAGGUAUUGAACAGCCGACUCACAGUCAUCUUACGAGCUGCCUCUAAGAGAAUGAGGAACAUGUGGUGAAGCUUUCCAGUUCUAGUAUUUCUUUUUUGAGGGCUUCGUUUUUGAGUUUUCAGUUUAGCAAUGCAAUCAGCUGGUAAGUGUUAUCAGUGACUGUUAAUAAUCAUGUGUUAGUCCCUACUGAUGUCCUGAAACAACUGAACAUGGUGUGUUCUCCCAGCUGGACCAGGUGUUUGAUUUCUAAUCACAGUUCCUUACAACUCUCUAAUUUCACAUGCAACUCAGUAGUUUUGAAUGGCUUACACUUUCCAGGAAAUACAAGUCCAACCAGGGGCAGGUCCUUUUCAAAGUAAAUAUCUCUGUGAGCCACCCUGGUCUGAGUCACUGAGGUUUUAGCAGGAUGGGGCUAUCACAGAAGAACACAUCUAAGACAAGAAGCUAUUCCUUAAAAACAGAUUCCUCUUUCAGGCUGUAUUUUUGGCAAAAUGGAUUUACUGAUACAAUCUACAGAGGUUAUGAAGCUUGAUUAAAGUCCCUAAAACUUGUUCAGGUCCUCAGGUGUUGCAUGAUAAAAGCUGGAUAACGAUUCUCUACUAAGUAUGUAAUUAUGUAAAUCCCAAAUUUUUCUAUAUUGGACAGUAAUAAUACAUUUAAAUCACUUUACACCUCCUGACAAAUGUAAGAAUUAGUACGGUCUUGGGAAGUGUGCCUUAGCGAACUUCAUCAUUCAUGUUACCUAGAUCUUAACCUGUGGUGACACCGUUUAUUCAGGUCUCCUCAGGCUUCCUUCAAUCUCCUGAGAGCUGCAACUGUUUUCCUUUAUUACUGUGCAUGAAAAAGGGACCUGCCUCUGCUUUCAGAAACAUGCUUUUGCGGGACACCUUUUAGAAGUAAUCGGCUGCAGCGGUGAUGUCGGAUGAGUGAUCGUAGAGCCACCUGGGGACUGGCCUGUGCAGAGGAGGGUGACUGCAAGAAGCUUUCUGACCUGCCUGCCUUUUCUUUGCAAAGCCUGGCAGUACUUGCAGCUUUUCCCUUAAGCCAAGCACAGGCUAAUCCCCUCGGUCAUGCUUUUUGAGGUACCGGUUACCCGGCAGGAAGAAGCAACACAACUUCAUCAGCCAAAAAAGGUGGUGAGCAGUGCAGGGAACUGUGUGUUUCUCCCCUUGGAAAAGCAUUAACAGCUAAUACCUCCACUCUGAUGGACUUGCUUGGUGCUUUUCCAAGGUGGGAUUUAGGAAAAGGCAACCACACAGCAUUUCCUACUUUCCCCCAUGGGGCUCCAAUGAUUUAAUUGGUUAUGAAGGGCAGGGAUGUCUCUUACAGAGGAGCUGGCUGCUGUUGUCAGCAUGCCACACUGCUCUUCAGAGCUCAGUGAAAAAUAAAGUUACCAGGCAAUACUUCCCCUGCUGAACGGGGUGAAUGCAAAGGUUGGCCACUGCCAAUAUGAACUCUAUGCCACAUAUAGCUUUUCUAUUCCUAUAUAGCUCUUCUAUUCAUCUAGGUUCCUGGGAAAGCCAAUGUAUAGCCGUGAGCCAUGGAGGGAAGUGGAGCUGUAUUUCACACCUUAACUAAGAAAAGUAUCUUCACGUGCUAAUGUGGACCACAGCGAUCAGCAUUAUGGUGUGAAAUGGAAGGACCCUGUACAAGUGCGUGGGUGCCUUUUGCAGAACACAGGAGCAUUUACUCUUGAGACCACAAAAGGGAGUUUUUUAUCUUACAUUUGAUUAAAAAAGAAAACCCUGACAUGCCACAGAAAAUGUUAAAGUCUUAAUCCUGGUCAGAAUCUUAAAUCCUGACCAGUGCUAGACUCUGCAGUAUUUACCCUGAAUAGCUAAUGGGUAUGUGUCUUCAGGGAGCAGAGAUUCACAUGUGUCAGUGUGGUCACCAACUUGAGGGUGUUCAAGAGGAUGAACAUUUGUGGAAAACUGCAUGAUAAAACAUGCUGGAAUUAUUAGGUAGAUUAUAAGGGAUAUAACUCCAGCUAUCAGACACAUGUUUCUUUAACCACGUGCAUGCCUUUCAUUUAAAAGCAAAAGCAUCCACCUGGCUUCAAAUGGAGGUAGACCAAGUUUUGAAGUGGGUCGUGAAACUUCGUGACUUCCAGAGGGUCAGCAAAUUGCAACAACCUUUUUGUCUCCUAGAUCACUCUGAAUCCUCUUACUGAGACUGAGCAAACCUCCCCAGAAAGCGGAUUUAACAGGAGUGCUGCAGGACCCACGGUCCCCUUCUCCCCUCCCUGGCAGGCCUGCUUUGCACAAGAUGAGCAUCCCCAUGGCUUCUCCAAGCCCUGCUCAGGUUGUUGGAAGAGUUUGCAUGAGUGGGCAGCUUUGUGGCAUCUGGGUCUGAAAGGUAUUUUGGUAGAUGUGAGGGUCCAGCUGCUGCAUAAAAAAAAAAUCUAUGGGGAGCUGAGAGUGCAAAAACUUAGUCAAAAUCCUCAAACAAGAGGUGAAGACACUGUCAGAAAAUCGUCCUGGAACUGAUUUAGCUGCAUAAUGCCAUAACCCAGCAAAGCAGAAUAGAAAGGAACUCCUAGAAGGGUACUCGCUUUUGGAAGGGCCAAAAGCUUUUUGCAUAAGCUCAAAAGUAACUGCAUAAAAUAACACCAUGCUUCUUCUCAGAGAUUAUAUCCAUCUCAGUACAGCAAAUUGUUACCUUAUCUUGGAGGUUUGGGUUUUUUUCAAGAGUUUUUUCAGUUUCUGGAGGGUGCGAUUUUGUGGACAUGACCACAGCAGGCCAGCUGGGGCCGGGGAAGAUCCUGGCACAGCUGGGUUUGCAAUAGAGCUGUUGAGUGUACGAGGUCCGGAAGGCUCCUGGGGACUGCCAUGGACAGGCAGCAUGGGCAGAACAGCAGCUCCUUCUGCAUCGCUCCCCUUCAUACUGAUUUUCAGCCCCAUUGCAAAAUACUGGACGUAAUCUGCCACUAUUUCCUAAACAGAGCGAAGAAAUAAAACCUGCACAGGGCUCCAUGAAACUUGCACAGAAGACGAAGGGAAACUACUCUAAAGGCAACCCUUCUCUCACCCUGAUGAAAACACAAGUUCUCCAGGCUCUGCUGGCUUCUCUUUUGAUUCCUCCUUGUGCUUUGAGCCAUUUUUCUCUCCGCAAGGAUGGGUGUUUAGAUGCUUGCCUUCUAAUCAGCUGCAGUUACAGCCUUU